UGGCGUUUGUUGACGAAAAGAUAAUAAAGAAAUCAUAUUCCUUCUUUGGAGUAAUUAUGGUGUGAAAAUAAGCUGUAGACAUUUGAAAAGGCGCAUGACCAGACUUAAUUUGAGAAGACGGAGAUCAUACAAUGUGGAUAUGGCAAUAAGGGCUAUUCAGGAAGAAAUGAUGUUCAGUGGACAGAUUCUUGGGUGUCGUUCGAUGAAACGAAGACUUCUUCAGAAACAUGGCAUCUUUAUAGGA